rnacentral:sRNA from 1 species
UUUUUGCCCGGAAAGAGGCGCUCUCGUUCGGGUCUCCCAGUUUCUGUUUUUGGAGUUGACAGCAGUUUUAAAUAUUGGAUACUGAAGUCUUUAUUUUCGUGUGUUUCGUGUAAGAGGCGUUUUGGAUUUACUUACGCGUUUAGAGAAAAUGGCAGACGAUAUUGAUAUUGAAGCAAUGCUUGAGGCUCCUUACAAGAAGGUGAGAAAAAACAUGUCAGUGAGGUUUAUAUAUUUCUUAAUUUAGCAUUAUUCACGAAACUACUGCUGAAAUGUAAACUAACCUCCCCGGAGCCCUCUUGAUUUAUCUUAUCAGAGAUGCAUUACGUGUAACUUACAAAAGUAAAUAUUUGCUAUUGAUGUAAUAAUAUUGUGCAGUAGUUUCACUUCAGCGUGAUGAAUAAAUGCCCAUCUAUCUCUCUUUGUAGACUUGCCUAACGAUAUCUCACCUCUACUCCCAUGAAUUCACCUUUGAUUCCAGUGUGAACUGUCAAUCAUAAGGUAGUAAUUGAGUGACUUAUCGCUGUACCGUGGUCCCCUAGGUAAAAUGACUCAACUAAGAAUUACC